UACGUAUGGUGCGAGCGUUAAUCGGAAUUACUGGGCGUAAAGCGUGCGCAGGCGGUUUUGUAAGACAGGCGUGAAAUCCCCGAGCUCAACUUGGGAAUUGCGCUUGUGACUGCAAGGCUAGAGUGUGUCAGAGGGGGGUAGAAUUCCACGUGUAGCAGUGAAAUGCGUAGAGAUGUGGAGGAAUACCGAUGGCGAAGGCAGCCCCCUGGGACAUGACUGACGCUCAUGCACGAAAGCGUGGGGAGCAAACAGG
rnacentral:rRNA from 1 species